GUUGUUCGGCUUCUCUGUGAGACUACAGGGAAAUGUCAACAAAUUAAUUGCACCCACUGUUAAAAGGGGCUUCAAAAGCUGUUCUCAAUCAUCUGCUUUAUCCAAAUACUGUGUGUGGGAGGUUGUGUUGUUUACUACCAGCUAUCAUCUAUAUUACCAUAGCACCUAAGAGCCUCGGAAAUGUAGAGGGCUCCAUUGCAGGGAUGCAACGAAGAGAGAGAAAAAAAAGACCAUCACAGUCUCCAAAUAUCCUCUCAGGUGUUAAUCCUUUCACACAACCUGAAGUAAAAAACAGUGCAACUCAACCAUUCUCACCUCUUUAAAACUUUCACCUUUUCUUUCUAGGUGAAAGUAGGUCUUAGAGCCUUUUUGUUACUCAUCUGCUGCCCUUUCAAGUUUUAUCUGCAAGACACUAGAUAGGGUUAAGCCUAACACUGAAUAUGUAUCUUUUUAUUUCAGCUCAAACUGCAUUGUUGGCAGGGUGAUGUUACCUUGAUAACAUUGUAACAUGGGGUGCUUUGCAUAUAUUGGGAUCUGUAUCCUUCUAAUUAUCCAACGACUAGAUAAUCUUCAAGGGCAGGAAUUUUCCAAAUGGUCUGGAAUGCAGGCUGCAGAUAAACAGAUAAUAUCCUAGUGAGGUAAAAGCAAACCAAAUAUGGUGUUCUGGAAUGAGAUGCAGCACUGUCAGUUUGGAACACACAAUACAAUCUGUAUAUUAAAAAAGUAAAUUAAGCAAUUUUUUCAGUUACAAGACAACCUUACUGCAGAGGUCCAGCUCAUUUUUUUUUUUCAACCAGGUAGUAUGAGAGCAGUUUCCCUUUGUGGGUGCACAGGUUGUUGCUGUUAAUAGGACCGAGUCGGUGCUCUAUGCCUGGAGAGUGGUUUUCAACCUUGUAAUCCACAUACCCUUGGAAUUCCUUAGGCUAAUUCCAGAGGCUCUUGGAAGAGCCUUAUAAAUAGGCUCCCAACAACUCAAGAGUGGUCCUCACAAUCAUUGGAAAAAAGUUUUGAGGAGCUUGUUUUUUCCCUUUUCCCUAAACAAAAUAAAGCCAAGCUGUUCUGCAGGACGCGUGAUUUCAAUUUCUGAAGAUUGCUUGGGGCUUCGGUGAAGUCGGUGUAAAGAAGGCUGUAUAUUUACCCAGGUAGACCAGUAACCACCUGCAGGACAGAUCCAAGCCUUCUCAUUUCACCCUUUCUGGUAGGAAACAUUGUCAGGAUUCAGCAAACCGUUUGCCUUGAGUUUUCUGCAUCUGCUGGCGAAGGUCCAUUAUUUCUUUUGCUCGUAUUUUGUUUAUAACAGAGAAUGAAACAUGAGGCAGCAGUGCUGUCCCUUACAAGGGAAAAACUGAAAAUCCAAAGCGAUCUCAUGACUCCAAACAGAAUCAGAUGAUAAGCCUGGGAAGCUUACCCAGCUAUGAUGGUGCCUUGUACCAAUCAACAGCUCAGGAUUAGUAGGAUUAAAGUAAAUCUUAUUUCUGGCCAUCCAUGUCUGAAUUUCAGUUUGGCAUCUGGUCAACAAAGCAACCGCCUUUUGCAAGGUAGUGUGACAAAUUUCUUUUUCCAUAAACAUUAUGGAAAAAAAAAGAAAAAAGAAAAAAAGGAUGUUCUUGAAAAGUCUGUGAAGUGCUCUGCAUUACCUGUGCAGAUGGUGCUAAAAUUGGAGCAGAACAAAAUGCUCAACUUUCAUCUUAUAAAAGAGCAAAGCAGAAACACAUCAUGUCGUCUCACGCUUACGUCUGCUCAGGUGAGGGAGGAGAAGCACUUCUUAUACCACACCCAAGUCCUCCAGAUGAAGAAUUUGUAUGAGUAUUCUCUUCUCUUUUAUACCUUGUGUAUGCAAUUGUGGAUGAGUAUUGGCUGACACACUUCAGUUCUUAGCCAGACGAAACGGGGAAGUUCAAGGACAUGAAAAGGACAUGGGUAUGCACAAAAGUGAAGGAACUGGUAUUUUGCAGUUGCAAAGGUGCUGAGAUUGCAAGCUUUAAACAAAGCGUGGUGUUCACAGCCACGUGAGUGUGCUUAGGUUUUGAAUGAUCUUUGCCAGAAGCUUUCCUCUUCAACAGAGACUCCAUUUCUAACAAAAACAGCUUUAAAUCCGAUUCUUCAUAGUGUUAACUUCUCAGAACAAGGACAUUUCUUAAAGAUCUCUCAGUGUUUUCCAGAAACUCUGCUCUCUCUUGCGCUUGCGGCUACUGGUUGACUCCUCAGUACUCAGGUAUCACAUGGAGGCAUGCCCCAUGUGCAAACGUGUCCAAACCAGCAUGGUGAAGGCAGCAGAGCAUAGUCCCAGCACAGGAACAAAUGAACUGCGUUUCUCUUGCCUACAGGCUUCUCCUCUGGACCGUGGAGUUGCUGAGUUUGAUAAAUACUAACGGCUAAAAAAUACACACCACAUUUAUAGUAGAUAGGAAAUGCCAGAUCUGCAUUUUGAAUGUCUCCAAUUCCAUCCCAACUCAGUGUGGCUAUCUGAAGCAUCAAGUAUCUAUUACCUGAAACCAAUAGGCCUUUUUAACCUUCCCCAGUGAAGCACUACUCAGGAUGAUUAACAGUGGUAGGGGCUGCUCUUUGAGCAGUUAAAUGCUGUAUUUUGAAAUCCCAUCAGACAGGGCUUAAUGUCUUCACAUUGAUAACCACUCCUUGGAUACCUCCUCAAUUCUUUGCUCUCAGUGCUAAGUGAAGAGGGAGCUACCCACUCCCUGCUUUAUGGCCUGAAAGUUUCUGAGCUAGAAUGUUAGUCAUUAAAAAUGACAGAGCUUGACCAGCGUCAAGAGCAUAACAUCUGACCUGGUGUGUAUAGUUAUUUUGUUCAGUUAAAACCAUGCUUUUAGGAAUAGGUGGCUGUAUAUAUGGUCUGUCUGCAACUCUAUCCAUCCCCAGUGGCCCGAGGGCUGCUGCUGCUGCUGUCUUCUGGAAGCAAAGAGGAAUAGCAGCUUUUUAAUCUGAAUACAACCAGGUAUGAAGAUUAUGCUGUCGGCAAACAAUGUAUCAUGUAACAGCCAAGCUCUUCUAAAGGGGAUGUUUUCAGUUUUAUGGGAGUUUUCAGUCCAGAAUGGAUGCAUUAGUGCAGGUUCAGUAAGAAAUAUGAUACCAGGAGUGAAUAGCAGUAAACAUCUUUUCAAGGGUGAAACUCAGGGUUUAAGUGAUACUUACGAAGAUACAGGCCUACAUUAAUGUUACCAAACGGAAUGAAUGGGCCAGAUGGUCAGCUGGUACAAAAGGAGCCUUGCUCUGUAGAAAAUGAAGAAUACUGAUUCUGUUUAUUGUUCAUCAUUGUUAAAUGGCUUGUCCAUUAAGCCACCGGGGAUACAUCGCUUUCCCUUCAGUGCUCAUGGCUACUAAUAUCAAAGGUUUAAUAAGAAGGAGAGUAUAAGGAUCUCAGACAAUCGUUGGAUACACCACGCUGUGACACAUGGGGGUGUGUUCCUUGUGCCCCACGUGCUCUUCUGUUCACACCAACCCAAGAGAGAGCACUCAUUUCACAGCUGCAGUAGGCUCUUGCUUUUGGCAGGAAGAUGUUAACCCCAGGAAGGCUGGAGAACAAGGGCAAGUGCAUGCAUCCAAAUGCACAGCCUAUUUCCCCAAACCUUCCCUCCUUCCUUAUACACACUUGGGCAGAUCCUCCUGAGGGAGGCUCUGGGGCAUGUGGAGACCUCACCAAGCUAAACACUGGAGUUCCUGCACUUUUACGUUUCUACUAGAAAUGAAGGAAAAGUUGUCUGAAAAGGCUUCGCAACCAUGACAUGUGAUAACCAGGACUUGCAGGAGUCUCGGCGAGAUGCUGUAGGAGUCUAAAUGGCAUCCUAACGGGAAAAGGGGCUGCUAACUGGGAGUGUUAAUGACCUGUUAUGAGUGUUAAUUCACUUCCUAUAGCCCACACACUUUGCCUUUUCACAAGAUUCACUUUGACAGCUGAUGUGAACUGCUCAAAUUUAACUCAAGUGCAUUCACAGGAGCCGUAUGGAUUAUUCCUGGCAUUUUUAGGAUGUAUUCGAACGUCCAUAGAAGAGAAAUCAGAGGCUAUUCUUCAACAGUGACCCCCACUGGAGAGCAAGCCUUAACUUUGUUCUCCUCAUCUAAGGUAUUAAAUUAAUUAUGGAGAGCAAGAUAAGUAGCUCUCAAGAACAAUUUGUGCUUUAGUAACUCAUUUCAUGUAACCUAAGACCUCAUGCUUGAUCAUUGCUGUUGCAGUGAAUUUUUAAUAUGCUCUGCACAUGGGUUUUUCUGAAUUGCCACUUCAGUUUGAUUUCAUUUUACAAUGUUCAGUGUUGUAUGCUUGUCAAGGCAGACUUGCAGGAAUAGAAUUCUGUGUCUAGUUUUGAAAUGAAAACAAUAUUGUUGAGACAUUCUGCCCGUGGUAAGAUUUUCAGUAUUGUGACAAACGUUGAGAUAGUAACGAAUGUAGGUAAGGCUGUAGGAACAAGGUUAAAAAUACUGUUAUUUCCUCAUGCUUCUCAUUCUUCUUGAUUGAUUGACUAUCAAGGCUUUUUUUUUUUCUUUUUUUUUUUUAAUUAAGAGUUCCAAAAGUAGUACAAGUGCACAUCUGAAUAUCCUAGGUUUCACAUCACUCAUUUGAACACCAUUAUCCCGACACAUCCCCUAGACAACAGCCUCAGUGCAACAUCACUGCCUUGAGAUCAGGAGCUCAGGUGGGUCUAGGGUUUGAACAUAUAGGGGUAAAUAAGCUAGCUUUGUAAACUAGGGAAGGAGAACGACAUCUGAACAUUUCAUGGUCAGUUGUGCAAACACAAAGAAAGGAACAAUACAAAAUAAAUGACUGUGACCGGUUUCAACGCAGCGUAAAGAGGUCAGACCGAGGAAGACGUCGAGCCUUCGCGAGGAAGACUUCUGACUUCAUCCCCACGACCACCAGAGGGAGACCCCUACUACGGACAACGCAUGCGCCAGGGGAGGGGUAGUAUGUAAAUGACUUUCUGGAAGAACAAUGGAUACUUGAAUGGGUUCCAAGAAUUUCUGCUGAAUAUGUAUGGAUUUGGCUUAUAAAUAUGUAUUGCUUCUUCUGGCUUGUGUGUAGGUUUGGUGGAGCGAUCCCCCUGCACCUGAUUGAUUGCGUAAUUAUCAAAUAAAUCAUACCUGCUUUAUAACCUGCUUGGGUUAUAGAGUUUGUUUCCGCAAGUCAGCCUCGGCAUGAAAGGGAAACCCCAGUGUGGUUAGCAUAAACUCCAUCAUAAAGAACCAGGAGUGCUCUUGGAUACUCGGAUGCCUGUACAGCCUUGCCUGCUAUUAAGACAAGUGCAAAAUAGUAAAUAUUCCUAAUUUAGCCAGAGAAACAAUAUGCACACAUCAUUUGAAAGCUAAUAUCCAUAACAGGUGCAAUAGCAGCUGCGGAGAAAUCCACACAAGACUUAUAACCAAUACUUUAAAUGCACU
ensembl:lncRNA